rnacentral:tmRNA from 1 species
GGGGGUGGGUUGGUUUUGACAGCAAGGUAAAUGAUUAGGUAAGCAUGCAGGCACAGGUAACAACUGCCUUAAACAAGGUUACAAAACAAUAAUUGGCGAAAAUACUUACGCUUUUGCAGCUUAAUUCGAAGUAUAGUAGAUUUUAGCGAACCAACAUAAUUUGUUGGGCAAAACAUCUCUCUAAAGCCAUUUGCUCUGCGGCUAAGGAUAAAGAGGUGCUCGGAAGGCAGAGAUAGUUUGCAGGGUGCUUUGACUUGCAGGCGAAAUUUAAGAAGAUAAGCUUUUAGUAGGGCGUUUGUCCCCGGCUAAUUGACGAAAAUUAAAGGCAAAAUAAGCAUGUAGAAAGCAUAGUUGUUUCUUGUUUGGACCAGGGUUCGAAUCCCUGCACCUCCACUU